rnacentral:rRNA from 1 species
UACAGAGGUCUCAAGCGUUGUUCGGAUUCAUUGGGCGUAAAGGGUGCGUAGGCGGCGCGGUAAGUCGGGUGUGAAAUCUCGGAGCUUAACUCCGAAACUGCAUUCGAUACUGCCGUGCUUGAGGACUGGAGAGGAGACUGGAAUUUACGGUGUAGCGGUGAAAUGCGUAGAUAUCGGGAGGAAUACCAGUGGCGAAGGCGGCGACCUGGGCCAAUACUGACGCUGAGGUGCGAAAGCGUGGGGAGCAAACAGG